GCAGUCGUACGGGAGUUUUUAUUAACUCAAGUGGCGGACGGGUGAGUAACACGUGAGUAUUUACCUUUAGGAGGGGGACAACAAUUGGAAACGAUUGCUAAUACCCCAUAUGCUUUAGAGUGAAAUAGAUUUAUCUGCCUAAAGAAGAGCUCGCGGCUGAUUAGCUAGUUGGUAAGGUAAUGGCUUACCAAGGCGACGAUCAGUAUCUGGUUUGAGAGGACGAUCAGACACACUGGAACUGAGACACGGUCCAGACUCCUACGGGAGGCAGCAGUGGGGAAUUUUCCGCAAUGGGCGAAAGCCUGACGGAGCAAUACCGCGUGAGGGAAGACUGCCUAUGGGUUGUAAACCUCUUUUUUCAGGGAGGAAUAAAUGACGUGUACCUGAAGAAUAAGCAUCGGCUAACUCCGUGCCAGCAGCCGCGGUAAGACGGAGGAUGCAAGUGUUAUCCGGAAUCACUGGGCGUAAAGCGUCUGUAGGUUGUUGUUUAAGUCAACUGUUAAAUCUUGAGGCUCAACUUCAAAAUCGCAGUCGAAACUAUUCAACUAGAGUAUAGUAGGGGUAAAGGGAA
rnacentral:rRNA from 1 species